rnacentral:tRNA from 1 species
UAGUUAAAGCCAAAUAGAGGCACUCUGUUGUUACCAGAGAAAAUGGCAGUACGCCUAACUAG